rnacentral:tRNA from 1 species
UAUUAAGUAACCAAAUGGUUUAAGUCUUUUAAACUUACAAUAGCUUAUUAGCUCUUAAUAA